rnacentral:rRNA from 1 species
AUAGAACGCUGGCGGCAGGCCUAACACAUGCAAGUCGAGCGAGCGGCGGACGGGUGAGUAAUGUAUGGGGACUGCCCGAUAGAGGGGGAUAACCACUGGAAACGGUAGCUAAUACCGCAUACUAUCGGAUAACCCAUAUGGGACUAGUUAGUAGGUGAGGUAAUGGCUCACCUAGGCGACGAUCCCUAGCUGGUCUGAGAGGAUGAUCAGCCACACUGCGACUGAGACACGGCCCGUACUCCUGCGGAGGCAGCAGUAGGGAAUAUUGCACAAAGGGAACAGGCCUGAUUCAGCCAUGCCGCGUGUAUGAAGGAGGCCCUAGGGUUGUAAAGUACUUUCAGUCGGGAGGCAUUACCGUCAGAAGAAGGACCGGCUAACUCCGUGCCAGCAGGCGCGGUAAUUC